rnacentral:rRNA from 1 species
AUUGAACGCUAGCGGGAUGCUUUACACAUGCAAGUCGAACGGCAGCGCGGACUUCGGUCUGGCGGCGAGUGGCGAACGGGUGAGUAAUGUAUCGGAACGUGCCCAGUAGCGGGGGAUAACUACGCGAAAGCGUAGCUAAUACCGCAUACGCCCUACGGGGGAAAGCCGGGGAUCGUAAGACCUUGCACUAUUUGAGCGGCCGAUAUCGGAUUAGCUAGUUGGUGAGGUAACGGCUCACCAAGGCGACGAUCCGUAGCUGGUUUGAGAGGCCGACCAGCCACACUGGGACUGAGACACGGCCCAGACUCCUACGGGAGGCAGCAGUGGGGAAUUUUGGACAAUGGGGGCAACCCUGAUCCAGCCAUCCCGCGUGUGCGAUGAAGGCCUUCGGGUUGUAAAGCACUUUUGGCAGGAAAGAAACGUCGCGGGCUAAUACCCCGUGGAACUGACGGUACCUGCAGAAUAAGCACCGGCUAACUACGUG